rnacentral:tRNA from 1 species
UUUUUUAUAGUGUAAAUAGCACGUUGGUUUUUCGUACCAGAGGUGGAAUUUUGUUCCUGGU